UACGUAGGGUGCGAGCGUUAAUCGGAAUUACUGGGCGUAAAGCGUGCGCAGGCGGUUUUGUAAGCCAGAUGUGAAAUCCCCGGGCUUAACUUGGGAAUGGCAUUUGGGACUGCAAGGCUCGAGUGCGGCAGAGGAGACUGGAAUUCCUGGUGUAGCAGUGAAAUGCGUAGAUAUCAGGAGGAACACCGAUGGCGAAGGCAGGUCUCUGGGCUGACACUGACGCUCAUGCACGAAAGCGUGGGGAGCAAACAGG
rnacentral:rRNA from 1 species